AUGCGACGCCCAACAUGGAGUGGCUCUCUUUCGUACAAGUCUGGUGAGUUUGGUUUAGCCUAUGUGGGCGAUGACACAUGUUAUCGUGUUGCUGGAGUAGGUGACAUCAAAAUCAAGAUUUUUGACGGAGUUGAGCGGAUGCUUCGGGGAGUCAGGCAUGUGCCAGGGCUAAGGAGGAAUCUAAUUUCGCUUGGUGUUCUUCAUGAUGGUGGUAUGGAAUUCCGUUGUGAUCGGAAUACGAAGACCAUGAAAAUUAUGGAAGAUGGGGUGACUGUGAUGAUAGGAGAGAGGACGGCUUCGCCUCUCACGGUGGCGGCGGGUCUGACCCGUCGGGUAGCUCUCAGUAAGCUACAAAGGAGACAACCCAAGUCCGGAGUACAUGGAGGUUCGAGCAUGGACGAUUUUUAA
rnacentral:rRNA from 1 species